UACGAAGGGGGCUAGCGUUGUUCGGAAUUACUGGGCGUAAAGCGCACGUAGGCGGAUAUUUAAGUCAGGGGCGAAAUCCCGGGGCUCAACCUCGGAACUGCCUUUGAUACUGGGUAUCUUGAGUAUGGAAGAGGUAAGUGGAAUUGCGAGUGUAGAGGUGAAAUUCGUAGAUAUUCGCAGGAACACCAGUGGCGAAGGCGGCUUACUGGUCCAUUACUGACGCUGAGGUGCGAAAGCGUGGGGAGCAAACAGG
rnacentral:rRNA from 1 species